rnacentral:rRNA from 1 species
UACGUAGGGGGCAAGCGUUGUCCGGAUUUAUUGGGCGUAAAGAGCGUGUAGGCGGCCAUACAGGUCCGUUGUGAAAACUGGAGGCUUAACCUCCAGACGUCGAUGGAAACCGUAUGGCUAGAGUCCGGAAGAGGAGAGUGGAAUUCCUGGUGUAGCGGUGAAAUGCGCAGAUAUCAGGAAGAACACCCGUGGCGAAGGCGGCUCUCUGGGACGGUACUGACGCUGAGACGCGAAAGCGUGGGGAGCAAACGGGAUUAG